UACGUAGGGUGCGAGCGUUAAUCGGAAUUACUGGGCGUAAAGCGUGCGCAGGCGGUUUUGUAAGACAGGUGUGAAAUCCCCGGGCUCAACCUGGGAACUGCAUCUGUGACUGCAUAGCUAGAGUACGGUAGAGGGGGAUGGAAUUCCGCGUGUAGCAGUGAAAUGCGUAGAUAUGCGGAGGAACACCGAUGGCGAAGGCAAUCCCCUGGACCUGUACUGACGCUCAUGCACGAAAGCGUGGGGAGCAAACAGG
rnacentral:rRNA from 1 species